CCAGCCGUUAAGAGGCCAGUGUUGAUCAGUGGCUGUCCAGGACUUUCAGAGACACUGACACCCUGGCAGCAUGAUGACAAUGUCACUGAUCCUACUGCUGGCCACCCUGGGGCUCCUGGUUCAGGGUUCAUCAGGAGACAUCAUCCUGACUCAGUCUCCUGGAUCUCAGUCUGUUGCUCCAGGACAGUCUGUCUCUAUCAGAUGUAAAGUCAGUCCAGCUAUUUAUACUUGCCUAAACUGGUAUCUUCAAAAACCUGGAGAAUCUCCUAAACUUCUGAUUUAUCUUGCUACAAACCGUCAGUCUGGAGUUUCAGAUCGUUUCAGUGGAAGUGGAUCUGGAACUGACUUCACUCUGACCAUCAGUAGAGUUCAGACUGAAGAUUCAGGAGAUUAUUAUUGUCAGCAGUGUAACAGCUUCCCGUUCACACAGUGAUACAACGUCGUACAAAAACCUCCUCAGCUGGAGAGGAACUGAUCUGAAUGAACAGCUGCACUGAAACAACAACACUA